GAUGAACGCUAGCGACAGGCUUAACACAUGCAAGUCGAGGGGCAGCGGGGGUAGCAAUACCCGCCGGCGACCGGCGCACGGGUGAGUAACGCGUAUGCAACUUACCUAUCAGAGGGGGAUAACCCGGCGAAAGUCGGACUAAUACCGCAUGAAGCAGGGAUCCCGCAUGGGAAUAUUUGCUAAAGAUUCAUCGCUGAUAGAUAGGCAUGCGUUCCAUUAGGCAGUUGGCGGGGUAACGGCCCACCAAACCGACGAUGGAUAGGGGUUCUGAGAGGAAGGUCCCCCACAUUGGUACUGAGACACGGACCAAACUCCUACGGGAGGCAGCAGUGAGGAAUAUUGGUCAAUGGCCGAGAGGCUGAACCAGCCAAGUCGCGUGAGGGAUGAAGGUUCUAUGGAUCGUAAACCUCUUUUAUAAGGGAAUAAAGUGCGGGACGUGUCCCGUUUUGUAUGUACCUUAUGAAUAAGGAUCGGCUAACUCCGUGCCAGCAGCCGCGGUAAUACGGAGGAUCCGAGCGUUAUCCGGAUUUAUUGGGUUUAAAGGGUGCGUAGGCGGCCUUUUAAGUCAGCGGUGAAAGUCUGUGGCUCAACCAUAGAAUUGCCGUUGAAACUGGGGGGCUUGAGUAUGUUUGAGGCAGGCGGAAUGCGUGGUGUAGCGGUGAAAUGCAUAGAUAUCACGCAGAACCCCGAUUGCGAAGGCAGCCUGCCAAGCCAUGACUGACGCUGAUGCACGAAAGCGUGGGGAUCAAACGGGAUUAGAUACCCUGGUAGUCCACGCAGUAAACGAUGAUCACUAGCUGUUUGCGAUACACUGUAAGCGGCACAGCGAAAGCGUUAAGUGAUCCACCUGGGGAGUACGCCGGCAACGGUGAAACUCAAAGGAAUUGACGGGGGCCCGCACAAGCGGAGGAACAUGUGGUUUAAUUCGAUGAUACGCGAGGAACCUUACCCGGGUUUGAACGCAUUCGGACCGAGGUGGAAACACCUUUUCUAGCAAUAGCCGUUUGCGAGGUGCUGCAUGGUUGUCGUCAGCUCGUGCCGUGAGGUGUCGGCUUAAGUGCCAUAACGAGCGCAACCCUUGCCACUAGUUACUAACAGGUAAAGCUGAGGACUCUGGUGGGACUGCCAGCGUAAGCUGCGAGGAAGGCGGGGAUGACGUCAAAUCAGCACGGCCCUUACAUCCGGGGCGACACACGUGUUACAAUGGCGUGGACAAAGGGAAGCCACCUGGCGACAGAGAGCGAAUCCCCAAACCACGUCUCAGUUCGGAUCGGAGUCUGCAACCCGACUCCGUGAAGCUGGAUUCGCUAGUAAUCGCGCAUCAGCCAUGGCGCGGUGAAUACGUUCCCGGGCCU
rnacentral:rRNA from 1 species